UAAUAUAUGCUUGUAUCAAAGAUUAAGCCAUGCAUGUCUAAGUAUAAACUGCUUUAUACUGUGAAACUGCGAAUGGCUCAUUAAAUCAGUUAUAGUUUAUUUGAUGGUACUUACUUACUCGGAUACCCGUAGUAAUUCUAGAGCUAAUACGUGCGUACAUCCCGACUUCUGGAAGGGACGUAUUUAUUAGAUAAAAGGCCGACCGGGCUUGCCCGACUCGCGGUGACUCAUGAUAACUUCACGAAUCGCAUGGCCUUGCGCCGGCGAUGUUUCAUUCAAAUUUCUGCCCUAUCAACUUUUGAUGGUAGGAUAGAGGCCUACCAUGGUGGUAACGGGUGACGGAGAAUUAGGGUUCGAUUCCGGAGAGGGAGCCUGAGAAACGGCUACCACAUCCAAGGAAGGCAGCAGGCGCGCAAAUUACCCAAUCCUGAUACAGGGAGGUAGUGACAAUAAAUAACAAUACCGGGCCUUUGGUCUGGUAAUUGGAAUGAGUACAACCUAAACACCUUAACGAGGAUCAAUU
rnacentral:rRNA from 1 species